ensembl:lncRNA
GGUGCUGUGGUAAGGUAGUGUUAUUCCCUUCUUGGUGCUGUGGUAAGGUAGUGUUAUUCCCUUCUUGGUGCUGUGGUAAGGUAGUGUUAUUCCCUUCUUGGUGCUGUGGUAAGGUAGUGUUAUUCCCUUCCUCCCCCUUUAUAUCGGUGCUGUGGUAAGGUAGUGUUAUUAGACUUCGGGCUGUUAAGAGUCUGAUCAAGGAGAGAGCAGUGAAGAGUUGUGAGCCUGUAGAGAGUUGUUGAUCUGAUUCUGUUUGCCUCUGGAAACAUGUCCUCAGUUUUCUUCCCUAAUAAGGCAGAGGAGAAGAUAGAUCUUUGAGGCUCCAGUCACCACAGCCGCUGAUUUGUUUGUUCCCUCACCUACUGUAUGUAAUUACAGUAUAUAGUCAAAUGAGUGUCUCCACGCAAACACAGACACUCAUUUCUCUCUCUCUCUCUCUCUCUCUCUCUCUCUCUCUCUCUCUCUCUCUCUCUCUCUCUCACAGCCGGCCUAUAAUUUAGCAGUCUAAGAAUCUGUGGUGGGGAGGAGAGAAGAAGAAUCCACACUGUCUAGUCAGAGAGAGUGCUAGCUGACGCUGGCUGGCGGGGCCAGAUGCUCACACCGCCCGGAUGUAAAAAUAACCAGCCCAUCUCUGAAGUGGUGUUUGUGUGCUCAGCUCGUGGUGGUCUUUGUUCCUUGAACAGUUCAAUAACAAACGUCCUAUUAAUACAAGUCAUUGUGGAGUCAUGACAGAGCGAGAGAGAAAAAGCCCCCGCUGAACAGAACAAAACAGAAACGGAGCCCUGAGACAAAGAGGCUGUAUGUCUGCUUGUUGCAGGUGACAAUAGAUGGUGGAUAGAAAUAGACUGGGAGAAAGACAGGGUAGGACCCCGCAGUAGCUACGUUGAUGUCAUAAAAGGGGGUCUCCACACAACCUUCAUCUCCACCAAGCCCCGAGUAAACAGCUUGAUGGGACUGUCAUCACUGGAUGAUAUAAAAACAUACACCCACAGAGUGACAGAGGUCCUCAGUAUACAUCGCUCAGGCUCAGACUGCGUGUGACCGGUCUCUCUCGACCCCUACCUCUGCCCAGCUCGCCUGCCUCGCACAUGAGAUUUCCACUUGGACAGGAAGCUGAUUCUCCUGCCACUUCCAGGGCAGAACACAAGGCUUCCACCUUCACACAUUCCACCCACCAUGCCAUGUAUAGCUUACACAGUCCGACACCCAAGUAUUUUCAAAUUCAUUAUUUACCAAACAGAUCUGGUUCAAAUGCAUGGGAGUAUUUAAGUAUUUGUAUAAAUACUGUGUAUUUGAGUAUUUUCACAUACCUGUCAAUCAAUACUUUUCCAAAUACAUUCCAAUAUUCAACCAGUCAGUCAGUCAGCCAGUCAAUCAGUCAGUCAACCAGUCAGUCAGUCAGUCAGUCAACCAGUCAGUCAGUCAGUCAGCCAGUCAACCAGUCAAUCAGUCAGUCAACCAGUCAGUCAGUCAGCCAGUCAGCCAGUCAAUCAGUCAGUCAACCAGUCAGUCAGUCAGUCAACCAGUCAGUCAGCCAGUCAGCCAGUCAGUCAGUCAGUCAGCCAGUCAGUCAGUCAGUCAACCAGUCAGUCAGUCAGUCAACCAGUCAGUCAGUCAGUCAGUCAGUCAGUCAGUCAGUCAGUCAGUCAACCAUCCAGUCAGUCAGUCAACCAGUCAGUCAGUCAGUCAACCAGUCAGUCAGUCAGUCAAUCAGUCAGUCAGUCAGUCAACCAGUCAGUCAGUCAGUCAGUCAACCAGUCAGUCAGUCAACCAGUCAGUCAACCAGUCAGUCAACCAGUCAACCAGUCAGUCAGUCAGCCAGUCAACCAGUCAGUCAGUCAGUCAGUCAGCCAGUCAACCAGUCAGUCAGCCAGUCAACCAGUCAGUCAGCCAGUCAGCCAGUCAACCAGUCAGUCAGCCAGUCAGUCAGUCAGUCAGUCAGUCAGCCAGUCUGUGGAUUGCUUCCUGUCCUGGAGGGCCAUAGGUCACCAGGUUGCCGCUGGCCACACAGUCCAGUGCAGCAGAGCACAGGGACCAGGACCCACAGGAAACAGGCUCUCAUCUCCCUCCCAUCAGCUAAUGGACAGGAAUGUAGGGGGGUACUCCAGACCUCCCAACCAAACACACUGGCUUUCUC